GGAAAACUUACCAGGUCCAGACAUAAUGAGGAUUGACAGAUUGAGAGCUCUUUCUUGAUUUUAUGGGUGGUGGUGCAUGGCCGUUCUUAGUUGGUGGAGUGAUUUGUCUGGUUAAUUCCGUUAACGAACGAGACCGCCGCCUGCUAAAUAGUUCCGUGAAUGAAUUUCAUUGACGAGAUCUUCUUAGAGGGACUUUUGGUGACUAACCAAAGGAAGUUGGGGGCAAUAA
rnacentral:rRNA from 1 species